rnacentral:rRNA from 1 species
UGGGGGAUAUUGCACAAUGGGCGAAAGCCUGAUGCAGCGACGCCGCGUGGGGGAUGAAGGCCUUCGGGUUGUAAACUUCUUUUGCUCUGAACAAGGCAUGCCUUUGGGGUGUGUUGAGUGUAGGGGUUGAUUAGCGCCGGCUAACUACGUGCCAGCAGCCGCGGUAAUACGUAGGGCGCGAGCGGUGUCCGGAAUUAUUGGGCGUAAAGGGCUUGUAGGUGGCUGGUUGCGUCUGUCGUGAAAGCUCAUGGCUUAACUGUGGGUUUGCGGUGGGUACGGGCUGGCUUAAGUGCAGUAGGGGAGGCUGGAAUUCCUGGUGUAGCGGUGGAAUGCGCAGAUAUCAGGAGGAAUACCGGUGGCGAAGGCGGGUCUCUGGGCUGUUACUGACGCUGAGGAGCGAAAGCGUGGGGAGCGAACAGG